GUUAAAACCACCAUCUAGCCCCCCCUGCCUCCAUAAAUAUAGCAAAAUCUUACUGUAUUCAAGCCUGAAGCUGUAACUCUGCAUGCUGUUUGUCUCAGAAAAACAAGCAGUCUGCUGACAUCAUCAGAAGUGGUAGCCUGAUCCAAUCACAGUGCUUCUCCAGAGGAUUGGCUGAGACUGACAAGGAGGCAGAUCAGAGGCAGAGCCAGCACAAUUCAAACACAGCCCUGG